rnacentral:rRNA from 1 species
GACAGAGGGUGCGAACGUUGUUCGGAAUUACUGGGCGUAAAGCGCGUGUAGGCUGUUCGGAAAGUCGGGUGUGAAAGCCCUGGGCUCAACCUAGGAAGUGCACUCGAAACUCCCGAACUGGAGUCCCGGAGAGGAAGGCGGAAUUCUCGGUGUAGAGGUGAAAUUCGUAGAUAUCGAGAGGAACAUCGGUGGCGAAGGCGGCCUUCUGGACGGUGACUGACGCUGAGACGCGAAAGCGAGGGGAGCAAACAGG